rnacentral:lncRNA from 1 species
GAUGCUGCCACAGCCCCCACUAUAAAAUGAGCCAUUUGCGGUGACCACGGGGAUGCAUGCAGAACAUUGCAGUGCCUCAUGUCCUUCCACCCCCACCCAGCCAUGCAGGCUCAGGGCUUGUCCAUCCUGGAUGAAUAGAAUGGUCAGUCUUUAGAGGACUGGCCAGUGGGAACCCUGGUGCAUUGGGAGGUUCCUAUGCAUGUUUUUAGCUUUGGAUCCAACAGACCCGAGUUCAAAUCUGAAGCUGCCAGUUCUUAGUUGUGUGUUCCCAGGCAAGUUGUGUAACCUCUCAUGGUCUUGGUUGACUCAUGUCAGCCAUGGAGAUACUGAUGCCUACCUUGCCGAGCUGAUGGCAUGACUAAAAGAGCUGGGGUGCAGUGAGUUAGAGAACUAAUGCACUGCUGCCAUGGAGUUGGCCCUCAAGUCACUGAGGUCCCAUCUCAUUCCUGUUGCAGGCCACCAAGGUGGAGACACAGCAGGUGGGGGAAGUACUAUGGAUCCAGGAGAGAAUUUAGAAGAGCUCUUCCACCCUCCCCAGGCUUCAGGAAACAAUGCACUCAGGGACAGCCUCUUGAAAGAAGUGGAUGAGGCUAGAGCAGAGAAGAAUCUGUGGUCCUCAAGGAUUCAGGUAGUAAAGCUCUGGUUGGCCCCCUGCCUGUUCCUGCAGGCCCCCCAUCCUCUGAUGUUAGCCCUUGUUGCCUUUCCCCAAGACUUACUUCACCUCUUGCUGGGGAUCCCCUGAGUCUCCUCUCUCACAAAGCAUCCUUGGGCUGCCCAGAUAUAAGCAAACAGCCUUUACUCUUCCUUGCAUUGUAUUUGGUCUGAUUUCCUUCAAGUUUGCUUGUCUGGUAGAGUGUGAGCCCUAUUUCAGCUCCUGGUUGACUAAGUAGACCAGGAGAAAGAAAAAAUAUCCUAUGUGAGUCUCUUGGACUGAUCUACUUCUUCACAGUCGUGCUGCCCCUACUGCUUUGGUUCUGGCAACCAUAGUUUCUCCUCUGUAAGAUUCUCUUAACUGUCCUCUUGCUGCCUGUUCCAUCCCUCAAAUCUAUUUUCAAUGCAGAGGCCAGACAGAUCCUAACAAAAUGAUCUGGUCACGUUAGGCCCCAGUCAAACUUCAUGAAAGGGAAGAACUUUUAUAAUGGAAGAGUAAGAACCCUCACAACUCUGCUUUUCCAUAAAAGCAAUGAAAACACUGGAAAAAUUGUCAAAACAAAUAUUUUCAGAAUACUGGAAAUUAAUAAAGGCUUGUAACAAUCCAAAGAGUGUUUACUCAGGAAAAAUGGCUUAAUCUCAGCAAGAGCAAUGAUCUUUGUGGCAUUUUAACUUGUCCUAUUUGUAUUCCUCUUUCCCUAGCUCUGUGGUAGCCUUGAGAACCAGCAGCAUGACAAUCACAGCAGAUGUGAAAACCAGCAGCCUAGCAGUCACUGGAUGGAGAAAUAUGAGUUUAGAACUUCCCAAAAUCUCAGUCCUCAAAGUUUUUUCCCUAUUUGACUUGCACAGCAGCUCCCAUAAAAGGGUUUGUCUUUAUUUGUUUGCACUCAGAGCUUGUUCAGCAAGACACUUUGUCUGCACAGCAUUUGUCAAAAACAAUCACAGGCAAUUGUUUAACAUCCCAGUUACCUGAGGUGGUAAUACCUGUUGGGCAAACAAGAGGCUGGCUAAAAAACUUAAAUCUGGUGAGUAAGAUGUUCCCAUAGGGAGCUUUUAAAAGCUCUAAGAUAUUCUUGGGAAUUUAGAAGGCCACACACAUGUGCAGGGCUCUGUGCAUUCCCAGGAAAGCCUCGAGAAGGCUCCCAUCUCUCAGCUCUGCUUGAUCUUGGGACUCUACACAAGCGGAAAAUGAAAGGUUAGGCAGAGUUGCAAAUUACCAGAGACUUGAAAGUGUGCACCCCCCCCCACACACAGAGCCCCUCAGAAAAAGAUGAAAGACUUAUUUGUUGAAACCAUAUAAGGAAACAUCUUCAACCAUUAAAUAAUCACUAAGCUAACUGAGCAGAGAUUUCAGUGGCUGCACAUGACAAAUAAUACAGACUUUAUAGAAUUAUAUCAGAAAAGUCACUAAAUAAAUAGCAAUAGCAACAACAACAAACAGCAACAAUGACAAACCCUGUGGGGGAAGGGAGUCUGAUGUGAAGAGUUGCCACAAUAUAUUAUUUAAAAUGUUUAAUUUUCAACAAAAAAUUAUGAGGCCUAUGAAGAAACAGGAAAGUAUGAUACACAUACACAGGAAAAAUGCUGUCAAUACGAAUUCUCCCUGAGGCAGCCCAGAAAUUGGAUCUACCAGACAAGAACUUUAAUCAUCUAUUAUAAAGUGUUCAAAGAACUAAAGGCCAAAGAAUUAAAUGAAAGUAUGAGAACAAUAUGUCACCAAAUAGAGAAUAUCAAUAAAGAGAUAGAGAUUAUAAAAAAAAAAGAACCAAAUAGAAAUUCUGGAGUUGAAAAGUACAAUGACUGAAAUAAAAAAUUCACUAGAUAGUCUCAACAGCAUAUUUGAAUUGGCAGAAGAAAAGAUGAAUGAACUUGAAGAUAAGUCAAUUGUGACAAUCUAGUCCAGAGAACAGCAAGAAAAAGAAUUUUUAAAAAUGGGAGAACCUCAAAGACCAUGGGACAUCAUUAACAAUACCAACAUGUGCAUAAUGGGAGUCCCAGCUGGAGAAAAGAGAAGGGACAGAAGAAAUAUAUGUAUAAAUUUAGAAAACUUCUCAAAUUAGAUGUAAGAAUCCUGAAAGCAACAAGAGAAAGUGACUUGUCACAUACAAGGGAUCCUCAAUAAGAUUAAAAACUAGCAUCUCAUCAGAAACUAUGGAGUCCAGAAGGCAGUUGGAUGACAUAGUCAAGAAAUGAAAGAAAAAGUUCAACCAAGACAUUCCAGCAAAACCAUUCUUCAAAAACAAAGGAGAUAUUAACACAUUCCCAGUUAAACAAAAACUGAGAACCUGUUGGAAGCUGACCUGCCCCACAAGAAAUACUAAUGGGAGUCUUUAAGGCUGAAAUGAAAGGACACUAGACAGUAACUUGGAACCACACAGAUAAAUAAAGAGCACAAGUAAAGAUAACUACAUAGGUGAAUAUAAAAACAAUAUAAAUGCAUUUUGUUUAUAAUGCUUUUAUUCUCCCAUCUGAUUUAAAACACAAGUGCAGAAAGCAAUAAUUAUAAAACUGGGUUGAAGAGCUUAUAAUAUGUGAAGAUCUUAUUUGUAUGACAGUAAAACAAAGGAGGAGGGAACAGAGAUAUAUUGAAACAGAGUUUUUGCAUAUUAUUGAAAUUAAGUUGGCAUCGGUUCAAACUAAAUUAAGUUUAGAUGUUAAUUGCAAUUCCCAGAGCAACCACUAAGAAAAUAACUUUAGAAAUAUGAUAAAAGAAACAAUAGGGAAUUAUAAUAAUACACGUUUUAGUGUACUUCUAACAUACAUAGAAGCACAGAGGGCCAAAAAACAUAAAACAUUUAGAAAACAAACAGCAAAUUCCAGCUGUAAAUCCUACCUUAUCAGCAAUUACGUUCAACACAAAUAGACUAAACAUUCCCAUAAAAGGCAGAGGAGGUAACAAGUAUAUCCUAUCUACAAGAGACACACUUUAGAUUCAAAGGCAAAAAUAGAAAAGGAUAUAUCAUGCUAACAUUAACCAAACGAGACCUGGAGAAGCCACACUAAUACCAGACAAGUAGAUUUUAAGACAAAAAUUGUUAUCAGGGACAGAGAAGGAUAUUUUAUAAUGAUGUCAAUUUCUUACAAAGAUACAACAAUAUAAACAUAUAUGCACCUAAUUGGCCCCAAAAUGCAUGAAGCAAAACCUGAUAGAAUUGAAUGGAGAAAUAGGCAAUCCCACAAUCAGAGUUGGAGACUCCAAAUCCCGCUUUCCGCGAUGGCUAGAACAAUGGGGUAGAAGACCAACAGGGAAGUAGAGGGUUUGAACAGCACUAUGAGGCAGGCGUCCCUAGAACGCUUUGCCCAAUCAACAGCAGAAUACAUUAUUUUCAGUGCGCAUGGAUUUUCUCCAGGUUAGACCACAUGUUAGGCCAUAAAACAAGCCUCAGUAAAUUAGAAAGGAUUAAAAUCACGUAAAGAAUGCUUUUUGACUGCAAGGGAAUAAACUUAGAAAUCAAUAAGAGAAGGAAACGUGAGAAAUUCACAAAUACACAGAAAUUAAACAACACACUCCUAAGUAAUCAAUGGAUCAAAGAAAGAAAAUCCCAGAAGAAAUGAGAAAACAUUUUGAGAUGAAUGAAAAAACAACCACAACAGACCAAAAUGUAGGGAAUGCAGUUCAAGCAGUGUCUAGAGAAAUGUAUGGCUAUUAGCACCUAUAUUACACCAGAAGACAGAUCUUAAACCAAGACCAUAGCUUUCUCCUGAAGACACAAGUGAAAGAAGAACAAAGUAAAUCCAAAGCAAGCAGAAAGGAGAAAAUAAUAAAGACAAGAGUAAAUAAUAAAGAUAAGUUAAACAGAGAAUAG